UACGUAGGGGGCAAGCGUUGUCCGGAAUCAUUGGGCGUAAAGCGCGUGUAGGCGGUUCGGUGAGUCUGCUGUGAAAGUCCAGGGCUCAACCCUGGGAUGCCGGUGGAUACUGUCGGACUAGAGUGCGGAAGAGGCGAGUGGAAUUCCCGGUGUAGCGGUGAAAUGCGCAGAUAUCGGGAGGAACACCAAUUGCGAAGGCAGCUCGCUGGGACGUUACUGACGCUGAGACGCGAAAGCGUGGGGAGCAAACAGG
rnacentral:rRNA from 1 species